UUUGCGGGACUACUUCAGCAGGUUUGGUGAAAUAUCAGAGGCUAUGGUCAUGAAAGAUCCAACGACAAGGAGAUCUAGGGGUUUUGGCUUCAUAACAUUCAGUGAUCCAGUCAGCGUAGACAAGGUUCUAACACAAGGUACACAUGAACUAGACGGUAAAAAGAUUGAUCCGAAAGUUGCAUUUCCCCGCAGAGCACAUCCAAAGAUGGUGACGCGAACGAAGAAAAUUUUCGUGGGUGGGCUGUCGGCGCCCACAACACUGGAAGAUGUUAAAAGUUAUUUCGAGCAAUAUGGACCGAUUGAGGACGCUAUGCUGAUGUUCGAUAAGCAGACCAAUCGGCAUCGAGGUUUCGGCUUCGUAACAUUUCAGAGCGAGGAUGUGGUAGAUAAAGUUUGUGAAAUUCAUUUCCAUGAGAUCAACAACAAAAUGGUCGAAUGCAAGAAGGCGCAACCAAAGGAAGUAAUGCUGCCGGCUAAUUUGGCUAAGACGCGUGCUGCCGGCCGCUCUGCUUACGAUAACAUCAUGUGGGGACUGGGGACACUACCCGAUGGAUUUCCGGCAGCCGCCUAUGCAGCCUAUGCAGCCGGACGUGGUUACUCGGGAUAUCCAAGCUUCGGCUUGCCUUACCCUGCUGUGGAUUUAACUAACGGACAAUUAACGCCGAACAACAACACACCGCUCCUCACUCAAGCCCUUUCAGUGAUGAAUAAUUAUCAAGCUGCAGCCGCAGCAGCCCAUAGCUUUGGGCCUUCUGCAUCCCCACACACCACCACCACCCGACAAGGUUUUCCUUCGACCAACUCUCCUGGUCCAACCAUUGAUAUGUACAGCUCUAACGCUGCCGACAACGUCGGUUAUGUACAGGCAACCAGUCCGCAACCCUCUGGAUUUCCAAUAGCCGUUAGUCGGGCACCAUUAAACUACAGUCCGAUAUAUUCGUUGAACUUUGCGAUGGCUAACAUAUAAAAUGAAUAAGACUGAUUAACCAACAAAACAUAGACAGAAAUAUACGUAUAAGCAGUUGCACAAGGGACCACUAAUUCCUGCGGCGUUCACAAAUGGAUACCAUUAAGCAUUGGCAUAGCAUCGUAAUAAUUUGUAUGUCAGCAUCAAUAAUGAAUCUAAAAAAUAAUAGACAAAUUUGACAACAAAUGCGUUUUUGGGAUGGCGUGGAAUUAAAAAGCACACAGGAAGUUGAAAAAGUUACCAGAAGUCAACACAAGAAUAAGAUAGCCAAAUACACCAAAUACAAGCAUACAAAUAUAUAUAUAUAUAUAUAUAUAUAUAUAUAUAUAUAUGUAUAUUAAUAUUAAAAUAUUUAGAAUAAAUUAUUAAUUAAGUGAAACAUAUAACCAUACAUACUUACGCUAUGUAUACAAGAAUCACGCAAAUGUAUUGAGAUUCUUACUUAUGUAAGUAAUGAUAUACAUACAUACACACUCAUAUACGAGCAACGUUAGGUAUUGUGUUAUUUGUUAAUAAAAAUAAAAUUAUGUUAAUAUCUACUUUCACAAUUUUAAAACAAAGAUGGCAGCAAAUUUUAAUUGCAAAUCAAUUACACUCAUACAUACACUUACAUAUGUAAAAACAAAUCUAAGGUAAAUGGAUCGAGCGGAAAGCAGCGCUGGCGUUAGUUAGUUUGUGAAAUAUUUAAAUCAAAUGCACCUCCUAAUUGAGAACCCAUCCAAAAGUAACAAAAAUCGCCAUGUCGUAUGAUUAACACUUUCGAAAUCCACACAUUUCUACAUAUGUUAAAAGGUCAAGCAAGACUGUAAAUCAUUUUGAAACUCAAAUAAUUUGUGGAUGAACAAUUGCUGAUAGGUUGAUUGUGUAAAUUUCAUAAUUAAUUGUUUGCCAAUGCAUUUAUUGAACAUUGAAUUAAUUCCAAUAAGCUUUUUUACGGUUUUAAGCAAACAGAAGCAUGAAAGCAAACAAAUGCAUACGCAUGUAUGUACCUACAUAUUUGAAUGCGUUCUUAAUUACUUACCUUAAAGAGUCAAUAAUAUUGAUUGGAUAGUCAUGAAAUUAUUAUUAUAUUAGUUCAAAUAUCUACCCCUCCAUGCUCAUCGGUGGUCAAGUUUUGACCCCUUGAGCGCGUCGAAACCGAUAUCGUAACUAAUAUAUUAAAUAUGUGUCACUUGUUAUAUGCAGGCUUUCGAACCAACACAUGAUCGUAAUACUAGACAUUCAGCUGUUUGAGAACGAUUCAAAUUAAAUAUAAUAUUAUAAAAUAUUUAAUAAUUUCUUCGUGUAACCAAAUUUACACAAUUUGCGACUUUCAAAUCAAUCAAAAUCAACUGCUAAUGCGCACAGACGUUUAUUUCGUUGGAUCUACGUGUAUGCGUAUAUAAAUAAAACUCACAAACCUCUGAAAUUACGUUCAACACUACAACAAUUCAUAGAGAAUGCAUGUACAUAUUUCUAUUUGAACAAAUUAAGUGGCACUUCUCAUAAACUAACAUAUCGCUCGCUGCUUAAGAUCAAACGUUAUUGCUUUCUCGCUCAGUUUCAGUUUAAGCGUUGGACGUUUAUUGCCACCCGCUAGCUUUUAUAGUGAAUUCUGGCUUUUUUUGAGUUUAUCUUAUAUGUAAUGCCAUCCGUAACGUUUUGAACUAGUUAGCUAAAAUAUACGUAUUCAAUAAAUGGAUGUUUGUUUAUGUGUGCAGUUACAAAAACAAAUUAAACCAUUGAUUAUGCUAAAUUGAAAAAAUAAAAUUAAAACUGCAACAUUUAUCAGGAGGAACCCAACGCUGAGAGUUUGCAUAAACCUGCUAAAACAAACAGCAGAAAAAGAGUCACUCUUUCUCUCUGUUUAAACCUUCAGAAAUUUGUUUAGCCGCCCUUUUGAGUUUAGUAAUCCUAAGAAUUAUAUCGAAAAAGCCGACGGGAAAUUGAUUACAUCCUCAACAUAUCGGGCUAAAAUUAAUUCCUUCAUUUACAUAAAAAAAAAAGUCCGAUCACAAAAAAAAACAGUACUUUUGCAAUAUCCACAGCUCUUGGCACUCUUUAAAUGUUGAUUGACAAAUUUUUUUCUACAUCCUCAUAAGAAACAAAAAUGAACCUGUAAUCAGUGAGUCCUAUGAAAUUUGCCAAAAAAACUGUUCACUCGUCUAAGAUUUUUAGUGAACAAUUUUUACAAUGAACAUAUUAUUAAAAAUCAUUAAAUUAAAAGAGCAUACACACAGAACAGAAUAAUAAACUGAAUACUUUAAAACAACAAUAACUAAAAUAAUUGAAAAUUUAUUAAAAUAGGAAGCAUAAAAACGGUCAAUAACCGGCGAAAGCUUUUGGCGAAAGUCAAACGACGACGACAACAACAACAAAAACAGCAAUAAGAAAAAUGCAAUUAAAACAUGUUUUCGAUAAUGCACCGUUAGCAAGCGUCUGACAGCAAUGGAACACUUGCUUAAUACUACUUACAACAAAAUACUUACAAUAUAUACAAUACAUGCAUAAAUAUACAUAAUGAAAAAUAACAAAUCUAGCGGUAAUAAUUUGAAACACCAAUUUUAAUAGUACGGCACUUCAUACAUACAUACUUACAGUAAAUAUUAAAUAAAUAUAUUAAAUAAACAGAUUAAUUGAUAACAAUAUAUACAUAAAUAUGUGAGGAUUAUAUACUUGUGAAAUUAUAAAAAAAUAUAAAAAAGUAUACCAAAAAGGCAAAAAUGCUAUGAAAUAACUUUGUUAAAUCAAGCGUGAUGCUAUGGAGAAAAUUAUUUCUAGUUAAAUAAGAGUUUAAAUAUGUAUGUAUGUUCAAGUGUAGCGAUCAACAAUCCAAAAAAGGAUAACAAUAUUUUGAAUUGCUACUGUCAGACGGGUAAUGGAAAGAGGAAAAGUAUUAUAUUAUAUAUUAAAUACUGCAAUGAAAGUAGAAACUGUAAGCCAAAAAAUCAAAUUCAGCAGAAGAAAAGAAAAAAUGCAAGUAAACUGGGAUCGAUCAAGAGUGGGAGGUAUUUAUAAAUAAAUAAAUUGAAAACACAAAAAUAAAAAAUUAAAAUGAAAAACGUUAUUAUUAGAAAAAUGAGUAACCUUAAGUGACAAAAGUGUUUAAAACCAAGCGAAGCAAUAUGCUUUCAAACAAAGCAAAUUGUCUACACACAUAUUAGUAUUUGAAGAGUAAAACGAUGAAGAAUGUGAAUAUAUACAUACAUUUAUACAUUAAUUUCAUAAAAGUGCAUAAUGCUUUGAAUUGGUAUACUGUAGAGGGCAGCUCACCUAGCCUGGACGUCAACCUGGUUCUUGGCCGAGCUUAGCGAUUUAGUGGCGUCAAUUGCAUAUUACAGUGCUGGGAUUUUGAAGCACCAAAGACAAAAUUAAUUAAUGAGAAAAUAACUUAAAAACUGAAAUUUAAGGAAAUUUGUAGUUUUUAGAUAGGAUGAAAUUGUGGCAAAGCAACUGCAAAGAAAAUAAUGUAAUAAAAAUAAAAAUUAAAUAUAGUAACGAAUAAAGUAAAACAAAAGUCUAAAUAGAAGAUGCAGAAUCAGAAUCAGAUAUUGUUAUUAGUGAAGAAACUGUGCUUAAGCUUUUGGUGAAGCUUAAGCUUGCUAAAACCCUGUGCUCGUAGAUAGAAUUGGACGAAGCAUAAUAGUUAGGCGAAGUGUAGAGAGCAGCUAAUGGAUAAAUCAUGCAAAGGCAGAGUUGAAGUUUUUUGUUUAAUAGCCAAAGUGGCUUAAAGAUUGAUCGACUACUAGCACCCAUGCAAUUGUAGGUAGCUUGAAAGGUCAGUCAAAUGACGGUGUGAUGCUUAAUUGAAUGACAAUUGUCCAAUGAUGUUACUUUAAUAAAAUAAAAAGAAACAAAAAAAUCAAUGAGGAUAAAAACAAAACCAAAACUAUUCUAACCAAAAUACACAUUUAUAUAAAAAGAAUUAUUUCAAGAAAAUUGAAAUACAAAAUAUAAAAUAAUAUAUUGUAUAUUAAAGUAUUUAAUUGCUAAAUGGGAUGUUGAGUUGUCCAAUACUCUUAUAUAAAAACAAACAUACAUACACACAUAUACACCCAAUUUGCAAAUGUUUACAAAUAUACACUUGAACAUUAGCUCAUACUUAUAUAUAAUAUAAUGAAUAUUAAGUAUGAAGAGUAUGCAUCUCAUACACCCAUACACAAAAAUUUAAACUAUUACAUAAAUAAAUAGAUACGAAUUCCUGUAUUAUUGCUAAAACGCCAUUGUGGCCGGCUGAAAUCAGUAAGGAAUAUUUAAAUAUACAUAAUUAUAAAUUUAUACACCAAUAAAAGAGCAAAAACUAAUUACAUGUGUAUACGGGAUAUAUACAUCGUAUAUGUGUGUACACAUAUAUAUGCAUAUGUAUAUAUAAUGUAUAUGGUAAAUGCUUAACAUGUGUAAUAUAGGUAAAACAAAUGCAAAAAAUACUAAAGAAAAACUCUGGAUCGAAAAUGUACUAAAGUUAAAACGACAAACAUAUAUAUAUAUAUAUGAAUACACACAUACAUACAUAUAUUACAAAAAUGCAUAAAUAUAUAUUUUUAAGAAAUGUUCUAAAAGCAAUAAUUACAAACAACAAGAAGAUAUAUAUAUAUAUAAUAUUGUGAAAACAUUAUGUAUUGGUAAAAAAUAAUCAAUAUAAAAUAAAAUAUAGUCUAAUGUUAUAUACAAAAUAUACAUAUAAAGCAAAUAUUUAUCUAUAAAUGCUAAGGAAAAAAUAUUAUAUAUAAAAGUAUUAACCCAAAAAAGGAUUACCCUUAAUAGCGAUACCCUAAAAAUCUAAAAUGGUGGCAAACAACUGACUGUUUAGAAAUUACUAUUUGAAAAAUGCCCUUCAAUUUACAAGCAUGUCGUUUUUCAGCUAAAUCGCCAGUAAAGCGUAUCCUAAUAAAAUAGUUUCCGUUUAAAAAUAAAUGAUUUCAAUGCAACUGCUAAAUGAAUUUUAACUUCAAAAAUUAUUUUAUUACAUUGAGUUUUAACGCUUAUAUAAGCCUAUUAAAAUCAUCCAUAAAAUGGAUUCAUCGCAUGACAAAAUUUUUAGAAAGCUGAUUUUAGAGUCUCAAAAAAAAAAUUGAAAGUGUUUGUGCAACAGGCAACUAUGCACAAUGUGUAUUAUUUUUCCCACAAAAAUUUGAAUCACGCUAGAAACCGGACAAAAGCCUCGGGAACACAUUUUGUUUAUGCCACUUUAUUAGAACAAACAGUGAAAUGAAACGAAAAGUGAGCAAUCUUUUGGAAUGUUAGCAGCAAACGUCAUAAUCCUUCGAUAUUUUCUUUACUUACUUUUAUCUGGUUGGUUUGAAUUAAGCUUCCUUUGAUUCAGCAAUCUUUUACCAAUUUUUUUGUUCCAUACUAAAACGUCGAUUCGAACGCAUAGUAAAAGCCCUCAGACUGUUGCUGGUGAUUUAGCCUUAAUUUGUAUGGCAAACGUCAAAGCACGCACGAAAUAUGGAGGAAACGUUCGCCCAAAAAUCGAUUAAACGUUUACAAAGCGUGAAUUAUGUACAUACAUAUAUAUUUAACAAGUGCAACAAUUGCUGAAAAAAUAUGUGCCAAUACCUUGAAAUAUGGCCCAAUGAGAAUUUAAGAGAUUCGGCAUUUUUCUUUUUACAGAUCACCGGAAAAAUAUCAGUUUCAAUCUACGGUUUAUAUGAUUGUUGCUAUCGACUUUGAAUUUAAUUUACGUAAGAGUCGGAAUUUACAAAUAAUUUGUUAUUUCAUUAAAAUUAAAAACUGUACUGUACAUACAUGCAUAUUUUGCUUGAAUUUGAAUUUUUUUCGCAACUCAUUUAUAUGAUAUUUUGAAGAAAAUAUAGAAUAACUAGCAACAUAAAUAAAAAAAAAAUCUUGAAUAGUCAAAUGAAAAACACGUCCUUUAGAACAAAAUCAAUUUUAGUCAAUUAACAACAAAUAUAAUUAUAAUGCAUAAGAAGAAGAAAAAUCGAAUAAACAGCAUAAAGAAUUGUUUGUAUGUAAAACUAAUUUCUGUUAAGCUUUUAAGCAUUUAUUCAAGUUUUGUAUUUAUUCCAAUUAAGCUUUUUUUCAUUAGAGCAAUUUUGAAAUGUAUUAAAUAUAAAUACGAAAGGCGCAACGCCUCCGCAUUUUUGAAAGCGAUAAAUCGCAAAAGCUUUAAAUACUUGAAGUUUUAUAUUUAUUCAACUAAAAAGACGUGCAAUCGGGCCUGCUUAUAUAAUACGAUAAUACAUACAUAAGUUUACUGGUGGUACAUGCCCUCAUGGCACAACCGGACUUUUGUCAAUUUAGGUCAAAACAGCAUAUAAAAUACUAUAAAAAAGCCAUUAAGAUUAAGCCAAGGCAAGAACGGAAACCCUGUUGCAUGAAAAGACAAUUUAUGAAAAGAAAAAAAUACUUAAAAAUAAAA
rnacentral:misc_RNA from 1 species